rnacentral:misc_RNA from 1 species
GAUGAAGAACGCAGCGAAAUGCGAUACUUGGUGUGAAUUGCAGAAUCCCGUGAACCAUCGAGUCUUUGAACGCAAGUUGCGCCCGAAGCCACUAGGCCGAGGGCACGCCUGCCUGGGCGUCACACGCCGUUGCCCCCCCAUCUACUCCUUCGGGAUUGCGGGGGGGCGGAUGAUGGCCUCCCGUGCGCCUAGCCGCGCGGUUGGCAUAAAUACCAAGUCCUCGGCGACGCACGCCACGACAAUCGGUGGUUGCGAAACCUCGGUUGCCCGUCGUGUGCGUUCGUCGCGCAUCGAGGGCUCGAAAAAAUGCUCGGCUCCGGCUGGGCUUUCAACGCGACCCCAGGUCAGGCGGGGUUACCCGCUGAAUUUAAGCAUAUCAAUAAGCGGAGGGA